GCCGUUUGCGUGGUGGUAGCGAGGCCAUGUCCAUGCCCUGGAGCGAAGAAGAACGUUCUCGGUUAGCUGGAGAGUGUCCAUCAUGAGGAGGGUGAUCUGGACGAGGACCUGAUCGUGAUAAGAAGAAACAGGAUCAUAAGCAAAGAAGCAAACAGAUGAAUAAACUGUAAGAAAGCUAAAGGAUUCUGGUUUCCGUCCUCCUUCAAAGCGUGGAAAUUCAUCUGGAGUAGGAAGCAGACCUUUCCGGCCUCCUGAGCAGCAAGAGAUGCAGGAGGGGAUGGGAGUGAGAAGAGACAUUGUAUUCAUGAAACUGUAACAACUUGCCCAAGAAAAGUCUUUGCUUCCUCAGCCUUGCAUUUCAGCAUGAAGAACGCUCCCUCACCUCUAAGAGUACCGCGACCUCGCCCCCGAACACCAUGGUCCCUUCCUCUCGCGUUUUCAUCUGGAGAGUCAAAAGUGUCAUCUGGCCCAAAAUCUUCAGGACCAGGAAAGCCAUCUCUCCCCCUGGGUCCCCGGCCCUCAUGUCUUGAGGGUCCUCCUCUUCUGAAGCUACAAGAAAGAACAUGGUACAAAUGUGGUUUUUAGGCAAAAUUUACAUUGACAAACUUGAGUCAUCUUCACUUUAAUAAUCAACUUGUUUCUGAACUGUUUUACUUAGUACUGUAGCACAUACAAUUACUACAACAGGAUUUGUGGGUAAAAAAAGUGCUCAGUGCUCAUUUUCUACCUCUGAGCACUUUGUUUAUUCAUUUUUAUAGUUUUCCCUCUGAUGUCCUUUUGUUAUGUUUUUCAUACAAGAAAAAUAUUGUCAAAUAUACUGCAUUCAUUUAAUGAAAAGGGAAAAAUCAGUGAGUCAUGUUAGAUAUAAGACUUAAGGCAAGGUAAGGAAAAGGACAAGUGAAUUUCCCUAGCUGUUGUGGUCUUAUUUUCCCUUCCCUUUUUUCCCUUCCAUUUUAGUGAUAAAAACUAACUGAAAGAUACAGGUAGUUAGCAAGAGUCAUGGCUAUAGCAAAACAUUUCAGCAUCUAAAUUCUGUUCAUUUUGGAUUCUUUUGCUAUAACAUUCUCGUGUGCAUUCAAUUCUUAAGGAUCUAAGUUGAUAAUUUUAGCAAAAGAUCCUUGACUGUACUUGGCUCUGUAGUGAUGAUGGUUGCUGAACAGUGCACAGGGGCAUCCUACAGCCCAAAGAGUAGUUUAUCCAACUGCAAUAAUGAAAAAUUCUGUUUUGCAAAAUGUAGCCAUCAUGACACUGAAGUUGGUUAUUUCCUUCUAGUAAGUACCAUGAUAUCUUCAGUAAUUUGAUGUGAUUGGGUUCUGUAUCUUUUGUUAAACAAGUAUAGUUCCUCCAGUAUUGCACUGGGGUUUUAACUCAGAUCUUCAGAGAGAAAAACGGUUCUUACUGAACUGUCAAAUGCCAUUUCAGGUAAGCCUCUAGAUGGCUGCAUGAAUACUAGCACUUUUGUUUCUUACAGUACCAGUGUAUAAACACUUGGAGUGCUUGUAAAAGUGCAAA